CUUAGAUGGCUGCUAUAGGUGCUUCCUGGGGCAGUACUGCCUAAUGUGCAGCACUGCCAUUCAGUGUAUCCACCCUCUGUGCAUGCAGACUCAACUUUCCCCAUAGAGAUGCAUUGAUUCAAUUUAUCUUUAUGAGGAGAUGCUGAUUGGCCAGGGCUAUGUUUGACUUGUGCUGGCUCUGCCCCUGAUCUGUCUAGUUGACAGUAUCAGCCAAUCCUAUGGGAAAGCAUUG